rnacentral:rRNA from 1 species
AUGAAAAUACUAAGUUGGAACUGCCGUGGGAUAGGCGAUCCCGCGACAGUUCGAGAACUCCGUGAUCUCCUUGAGAUCAGCUCACCAUCUAUCCUUUGUUUAGUAGAAACUCAGCUACAAAAGGCUCGUGUCGAGGGUCUUUGUUCUUCCUUAGGUUUUGAUUUCAGUUUUGGUGUUGGUAGCACUGGUCGCAGCGGCGGCAUUUGUAUCUUUUGGAAAACCUAUAUUGAUGUUGCAAUAAAGAACUAUUCAGAGUAUCAUGUGGACACCUGGGUUACUGAACCAGGCAGGGAACAAUGGAGGUUGACGUGUUUUUAUGGAGAAGCAACAAGAAGCUUGCGGUAUAAAACAUGGAACACAAUGACGAGACUAAGGGGGGAGAGUACCCUCCCAUGGUUGUGCAUAGGUGAUUUCAAUGAAAUCUUGAGAGCUGAUGAACAACAUGGCCCUAAUGAACAGGAUAGUAGCCAGAUCAAAGCUUUCAGAGGAGCGGUGGAUGUGUGUGGUCUUGCUGAUCUUGGUUACAGGGGCCUAGAUUGGACGUGGGAGAAAAGGUGGCUGGUGGUCAUUAUUGCAGAGUUCGUCUGGAUCGAGCUUUAG